AGACUAUGAUGUGUAGCCGGGCUGAGAGGUUGAACGGCCACAUUGGGACUGAGACACGGCCCAAACUCCUACGGGAGGCAGCAGUAGGGAAUUUUCGGCAAUGGAGGAAACUCUGACCGAGCAACGCCGCGUGAACGAUGAAGUAUUUCGGUACGUAAAGUUCUUUUAUUAGGGAAGAAUAAAUGAUGGAAAAAUCAUUCUGACGGUACCUAAUGAAUAAGCCCCGGCUAACUAUGUGCCAGCAGCCGCGGUAAUACAUAGGGGGCAAGCGUUAUCCGGAAUUAUUGGGCGUAAAGGGUGCGUAGGCGGUUAAAUAAGUUUAUGGUCUAAGUGCAAUGCUCAACAUUGUGAUGCUAUAAAAACUGUUUAGCUAGAGUAAGAUAGAGGCAAGUGGAAUUCCAUGUGUAGUGGUAAAAUGCGUAAAUAUAUGGAGGAACACCAGUAGCGAAGGCGGCUUGCUGGGUCUUUACUGACGCUGAGGCACGAAAGCGUGGGGAGCAAACAGGAUUAGAUACCCUGGUAGUCCACGCCGUAAACGAUGAGUACUAAACGUUGGGUAAAACCAGUGUUGAAGUUAACACAUUAAGUACUCCGCCUGAGUAGUACGUACGCAAGUAUGAAACUUAAAGGAAUUGACGGGACUCCGCACAAGCGGUGGAUCAUGUUGUUUAAUUCGAAGGUACCCGAAAAACCUCACCAGGUCUUGACAUGCUUCUGCAAAGCUGUAGAAACACAGUGGAGGUUAUCAGUUGCACAGGUGGUGCAUGGUUGUCGUCAGCUCGUGUCGUGAGAUGUUGGGUUAAGUCCCGCAACGAGCGCAACCCUUAUUGUUAGUUACCAGCACGUAAUGGUGGGGACUUUAGCAAGACUGCCAGUGAUAAAUUGGAGGAAGGUGGGGACGACGUCAAAUCAUCAUGCCCCUUAUGACCUGGGCUACAAACGUGAUACAAUGGCUGUUACAAAGGGUAGCUGAAGCGCAAGUUUUUGGCGAAUCUCAAAAAAACAGUCUCAGUUCGGAUUGAAGUCUGCAACUCGACUUCAUGAAG
rnacentral:rRNA from 1 species